GUACUAGUGAAGAGUCCCAAGUAGGACGAAAUAGCUGUCCAGUAC
rnacentral:hammerhead_ribozyme from 1 species